AAAAAAUGAUAAGUAUAACACGUUGCAACUCGUUCAAGUUUCUGAAUGUUAUUGUUCUUUUCAUAAACCUAACCAUUUGGGCCUCCAAGCAAUCAGUGAAAAUACACUAUCCCAUGCUAAAAUGCCAUCGAGCAAACUGAUUAACAAUGUGAUUUAAAUAUUAUCAAAAUCUCACUCUUAGAGCACUUAUACGAGACAGAAAUUGCUUUACUUCUAAAUGUCAAAAGAGCCGCUCAUCAUCCAGACAUCCCAUCCGUUUAAUCGAUCUAUGCUUAUUAAUUUGACUAACUAUAGUGCCUAUUCAAUAGCAACAGUCGGAGCUAAACUUUUAACAGUAGCUAGAAAUGUCGCCAAUGGAUUAGCUCUAUAUAGCUUGAAAUUUCCCCAGACACCAGGAAACAAGUAACUCAAAUCCAAU
rnacentral:misc_RNA from 1 species